rnacentral:rRNA from 1 species
UACGUAGGUGGCAAGCGUUGUCCGGAAUUAUUGGGCGUAAAGCGCGCGCAGGCGGCCUUUUAAGUCUGAUGUGAAAUCUUGCGGCUCAACCGCAAGCGGCCAUUGGAAACUGGGAGGCUUGAGUACAGAAGAGGAGAGUGGAAUUCCACGUGUAGCGGUGAAAUGCGUAGAUAUGUGGAGGAACACCAGUGGCGAAGGCGACUCUCUGGUCUGUAACUGACGCUGAGGCGCGACAGCGUGGGGAGCAAACAGG